rnacentral:rRNA from 1 species
GAUGAACGCUGGCGGUAUGCUUAACACAUGCAAGUCGAACGGACUAUGCGGAGUUAGUGGUGGAAGGGUGAGGAACGCGGGAGAAGCUGGCUUUGGGUACGGGACAACCACUGGAAAAGGUGGCGAAGACAGGGGGUGCCGAGAGGGAAAAGGGAAAUGUCCUGAAGAUGCGCUCGCGGGUGAGUAGCUAGUUGGUGAGGUCAACGCUCCCCAAGGCAGCGAUUAGUAGCUGGUCUGAGAGGAUCACCAGCCACACUGAGACUGAGACGCCGCCCAGACUCCUACGGGACACAGCAGUGGAGAAUUUUCCGCAAUGGGCGAGCGUCUGACGGAGCCAUACCGCGUGAGAUAACAAGGCUCUUGUGGUGUACCCCUCUUUUCUUAGAAAAAGCCAAAGUGACGGUACCUACAGAAUCAGCAUCGGCUAACUCCGUG